rnacentral:rRNA from 1 species
GACGGAGGAUGCAAGCGUUAUCCGGAUUUAUUGGGUUUAAAGGGAGCGUAGGCGGGAUAAUAAGUCAGUGGUGAAAUCUUGGGGCUCAACCCCGAAACUGCCAUUGAUACUGUUAACCUAGAGUACAUUUGAUGUGGGCGGAAUGUGUCAUGUAGCGGUGAAAUGCUUAGAUAUGACACAGAACACCGAUUGCGUAGGCAGCUCACAAAACUGUAACUGACGCUGAGGCUCGAAAGCGUGGGGAUCAAACAGG